rnacentral:rRNA from 1 species
GACGAACGCUGGCGGCGUGCUUAACACAUGCAAGUCGAACGCUGAAGCUCAGCUUUUGUUGGGUGGAUGAGUGGCGAACGGGUGAGUAACACGUGAGUAACCUGCCUCCUUCUUUGGGAUAACGCCCGGAAACGGGUGCUAAUACUGGAUAUUCACUGGUCUUCGCAUGGGGGUUGGUGGAAAGGGUUUUUCUGGUGGGGGAUGGGCUCGCGGCCUAUCAGCUUGUUGGUGGGGUGAUGGCCUACCAAGGCUUUGACGGGUAGCCGGCCUGAGAGGGUGACCGGUCACAGUGGGACUGAGAUACGGCCCAGACUCCUACGGGAGGCAGCAGUGGGGAAUAAUGCACAAUGGGCGCAGGCCUGAUGCAGCGACGCCGCGUGAGGGAUGGAGGCCGUCGGGUUGUGAACCUCUUUCGCUAAUGGUCAAGCCGCAACAAUGGUUGUGGUGAGGGUAGUGGGUAAAGAAGCGCCGGCUAACUACGUG